rnacentral:lncRNA from 1 species
GGGGAGGGGGGGAGGUGUGGGGUGGCGAGUAAAAUAAACAAAAAUUUGGGGAUGGGGGUGGCGAGAAUUUUUUUUUAAAAAGAUAGGGGGUAGGGUGGGGGGUGAGGUUGUGGGUAGCAAGAAAUUUUUAUGUUUUUUGGGUGCAUGUUUCUGUGUAGUAAUAUGCUUAAGUCAGUUUUUUUUUUAAUAAUUUUAUUAAUAUUCAAUUUUUUAUCUUUUCGAUUUUACUCCGGUGCAGAUUUUGGUUUGUCCCUACAAAUAUAACACAAAAUAGUGAUGGAAGAGAGAUGCAAAAUAAUGCCAAUUUGAUAAAUCUAUACUAUAUUAAAAAGGGAGUUCUCAAUUUCAAAUUGAUUUCGAAUCAAUUUCAAAAUUGAGUGGCAGAUUUGUCAUUAUAAUAAAAUUAAAAGUUUAUUUAUAAGCUAUACAUAUUUUUUUUUUCUUUUUCUUUAACUUUUUUACUUUUCUAUUUUUUUCUAAUAUUGUGAAAUUCGAUCAAUUAUAAAAUAUUUGAUAUGCAUAUCAAAUUAAAGAUCAUGACAAGAGCUUUAAUUUGAUACUAUGUUAUGUAAAUAUUAGAUUUAAAAUAUAAAAAUUAUAUUUAUUUAAAGAUUAAAACUUGA